rnacentral:tRNA from 1 species
GGCCCCGGGGUGUUACACAUGGGGUUGCAACCCCCAAGAAGCAGAAGGAUUUCUGCCGGGGCU